rnacentral:rRNA from 1 species
CGAACGCUUUGUGGUUCAACUGAUUUGAAGAGCUUGCUCAGAUAUGACGAUGGACAUUGCAAAGAGUGGCGAACGGGUGAGUAACACGUGGGAAACCUACCUCUUAGCAGGGGAUAACAUUUGGAAACAGAUGCUAAUACCGUAUAACAAUGACAACCGCAUGGUUGUUAUUUGAAAGAUGGUUCUGCUAUCACUAAGAGAUGGUCCCGCGGUGCAUUAGCUAGUUGGUAAGGUAAUGGCUUACCAAGGCGAUGAUGCAUAGCCGAGUUGAGAGACUGAUCGGCCACAAUGGGACUGAGACACGGCCCAUACUCCUACGGGAGGCAGCAGUAGGGAAUCUUCCACAAUGGGCGAAAGCCUGAUGGAGCAACGCCGCGUGUGUGAUGAAGGGUUUCGGCUCGUAAAACACUGUUGUAAGAGAAGAAUGACAUUGAGAGUAACUGUUCAAUGUGUGACGGUAUCUUACCAGAAAGGAACGGCUAAAUACGUGCCAGCAGCCGCGGUAAUACGUAUGUUCCAAGCGUUAUCCGGAUUUAUUGGGCGUAAAGCGAGCGCAGACGGUUAUUUAAGUCUGAAGUGAAAGCCCUCAGCUCAACUGAGGAAUUGCUUUGGAAACUGGAUGACUUGAGUGCAGUAGAGGAAAGUGGAACUCCAUGUGUAGCGGUGAAAUGCGUAGAUAUAUGGAAGAACACCAGUGGCGAAGGCGGCUUUCUGGACUGUAACUGACGUUGAGGCUCGAAAGUGUGGGUAGCAAACAGGAUUAGAUACCCUGGUAGUCCACACCGUAAACGAUGAGUGCUAGGUGUUUGAGGGUUUCCGCCCUUAAGUGCCGCAGCUAACGCAUUAAGCACUCCGCCUGGGGAGUACGACCGCAAGGUUGAAACUCAAAGGAAUUGACGGGGACCCGCACAAGCGGUGGAGCAUGUGGUUUAAUUCGAAGCAACGCGAAGAACCUUACCAGGUCUUGACAUCCCUUGACAACUCCAGAGAUGGAGCGUUCCCUUCGGGGACAAGGUGACAGGUGGUGCAUGGUUGUCGUCAGCUCGUGUCGUGAGAUGUUGGGUUAAGUCCCGCAACGAGCGCAACCCUUAUUACUAGUUGCCAGCAUUCAGUUGGGCACUCUAGUGAGACUGCCGGUGACAAACCGGAGGAAGGUGGGGAUGACGUCAAAUCAUCAUGCCCCUUAUGACCUGGGCUACACACGUGCUACAAUGGCGUAUACAACGAGUUGCCAACCCGCGAGGGUGAGCUAAUCUCUUAAAGUACGUCUCAGUUCGGAUUGUAGGCUGCAACUCGCCUACAUGAAGUCGGAAUCGCUAGUAAUCGCGGAUCAGCACGCCGCGGUGAAUACGUUCCCGGGUCUUGUACACACCGCCCGUCACACCAUGAGAGUUUGUAACACCCAAAGCCGGUGGGGUAACCUUCGGGAGCCAGCCGUCUAA